GAUCCUGGCUCAGGAUGAACGCUGGCGGCGUGCUUAACACAUGCAAGUCGAACGAAGCACUUAAGAUUGAUUCUUCGGAUGACAUCUUUUGUGACUUAGUGGCGGACGGGUGAGUAACGCGUGGGUAACCUGCCUCACACAGGGGGAUAACAGUUAGAAAUGACUGCUAAUACCGCAUAACCCGAUAGGAUCGCAUGAUCCAGACGGAAAAGAUUUAUCGGUGUGAAGAUCGGACCCGCG
rnacentral:rRNA from 1 species